GAUGAACGCUGGCGGCGUGCCUAAUACAUGCAAGUCGAGCGAACGGACGAGAAGCUUGCUUCUCUGAUGUUAGCGGCGGACGGGUGAGUAACACGUGGAUAACCUACCUAUAAGACUGGGAUAACUUCGGGAAACCGGAGCUAAUACCGGAUAAUAUUUUGAACCGCAUGGUUCAAAAGUGAAAGACGGUCUUGCUGUCACUUAUAGAUGGAUCCGCGCUGCAUUAGCUAGUUGGUAAGGUAACGGCUUACCAAGGCAACGAUGCAUAGCCGACCUGAGAGCGUAAUCGGCCACACUGGAACUGAGACACGGUGCAGACUCCUACGGGGGGCAGCAGUAGGGAAUCUUCCGCAAUGGGCGAAAGCCUGACGGAGCAACGCCGCGUGAGUGAUGAAGGUCUUCGGAUCGUAAAACUCUGUUAUUAGGGAAGAACAUAUGUGUAAGUAACUGUGCACAUCUUGACGGUACCUAAUCAGAAAGCCACGGCUAACUACGUG
rnacentral:rRNA from 1 species